GUGCCAGGAUGUGACAUGCACAACCAGUAAACACCACAGCACUUCCAGGCCAGGAGUGUACGACUCCUCCGUUCAACUUUUCAAAUGGAAUGCGAAGUGGAUUCAGCCAGUAAGCAGGCCAAGACUGUUUGAGCUGGCUGUUACAACAAAAUGUGGAAGACGUCAAGGAGUGUGAAUCAAGUAUUGAAUUUCAAGCACAGAUUCAACUACAAAGACCAGGGAGUUUUUCAGAAGCCUCAAAGAUGGGCAGUGAUUGGGCCUUAUACUGUAGUAUCCUACUGCUAGUUCACCUGUAGUGACACUACUCCGUCCCUGCUCUGGGCUCAUCCCCCUGCCCUGCCUGGGACUAUGGCACACAGAACAAGGACAGGAGGUAUCAGCCCUGUCUCUGGAGAGAGUACAGGUUGUUAUUGGAAGAGAGAAUGUGUUCCAAUAAGAUAACUGGUUAAAUCAAGUUUUCAGACAGCUCCAGGACAUUGAGGAUCACCCACCUUUCCUGCGGCACACCUUGCAGCGUGCGUUCUCCGCCGACAUGUCCCACUUGAUGCAGGCGUCCAGCAUGCCUAGCAGCACAUGCAUCCGGGAAAAGGUCUGAGCCUCGCGGAUCGCCGUCUUCCAUUUUUCUACUGCCGUUGCCACCUGCACAGCAGACAAAUGACUAUUAUUGACUUUGUUUAUUUAAUCUCUUUUAUUGUAUCAAUUUUCACAGAAGGAAAAUGUGUUUAAAAUGCACUUCAAAUAAACAUUGAUUUGAAAAGACA